rnacentral:rRNA from 1 species
GACGAACGCUGGCGGCGUGCUUAACACAUGCAAGUCGAACGGAAAGGCCCUGCUUUUGUGGGGUGCUCGAGUGGCGAACGGGUGAGUAACACGUGAGUAACCUGCCCUUGACUUUGGGAUAACUUCAGGAAACUGGGGCUAAUACCGGAUAGGAGCUCCUGCUGCAUGGUGGGGGUUGGAAAGUUUCGGCGGUUGGGGAUGGACUCGCGGCUUAUCAGCUUGUUGGUGGGGUAGUGGCUUACCAAGGCUUUGACGGGUAGCCGGCCUGAGAGGGUGACCGGCCACAUUGGGACUGAGAUACGGCCCAGACUCCUACGGGAGGCAGCGGUGGGGAAUAUUGCACAAUGGGCGGAAGCCUGAUGCAGUAACGCCGCGUGCGGGAUGACGGCCUUCGGGUUGUAAACCGCUUUCGCCUGUGACGAAGCGUGAGUGACGGUAAUGGGUAAAGAAGCACCGGCUAACUACGUG